rnacentral:tRNA from 1 species
UCAGGAUAUAGUUUAUAAAGAAUUCUGGCUUUGGAAGCCAGGGGUGUCUGUGUUAUUAGGAUUGUCUUG